UACGGGGGGGGCAAGCGUUGUUCGGAAUUACUGGGCGUAAAGGGUGCGUAGGCGGCUUUCUAAGUCGGAUGUGAAAACUCUGGGCUCAACCCAGAGCCUGCAUCCGAAACUGGAAAGCUAGGGUUCUGGAGGGGAAAGCGGAAUUCCUGGUGUAGCGGUGAAAUGCGUAGAUAUCAGGAGGAACACCGGUGGCGAAGGCGGCUUUCUGGACAGAUACCGACGCUGAGGCACGAAGCUAGGGGAGCAAACAGG
rnacentral:rRNA from 1 species